GACGAACGCUGGCGGCGUGCUUAACACAUGCAAGUCGAACGGAAAGGCCCUGCUUUUGUGGGGCUCUCGUGUGGCGCACGGGUGUGUAACACGUGUGUAACCCCCCCUUGUCUUUGUGAUAACUUUAGGAAACUGUGGCUAAUAUCGGAUAUGAUCUCUUGCUGCAUGGUGGUGGUUGGAAAGUUUCGGCGGUUGGGGAUGGAUUCGCGGGUUCUCCGCUUGUUGGGGGGGUUGUGGAUUACCAAGGUUUCGACGGGUAGCCUGCAUGAGAGGGUGAACGGCCACAAUAGGACUGAGAGACGGAGCAGACGCCAACGGGAGGCAGUGGGGGAGAAUAUGGCACAGUAGGCGGAAGCGUGAAGCGACGACGCCGGGUGCGGGAUGACGGCCUUCGGGUUAAAAACAGAUUUCGAAGGAGAAGAACCGGGAGUGACGGUAAUGGGUAAAGAAGCACCGGCUAACUACGUG
rnacentral:rRNA from 1 species